AAAAAAAAAAAAAAAAAGAAGAGAUUAUAUGUAUUGAACUUUGAACAGAAUAUGGUGCCAUUUCUUAUUUCUUUGAAGGAAGUCAAUAAUGGCAAUUUCUUCUUUGUGAAAAUAUAUUGAGUCAAACUUCAAAGCCUUGAAAGCAAUGACAUCUAACAUAAUAUUUAGUUCCAUGUAUAAAUCCUACACUUGCCUGGAUUUGUCUCUUCAUAGAAUAAGUUAACAUGACGUGAAAAUGCCUAAAUUAGGGGCAGAAAAGCUUUUUAUUUGAUCUGAGAGAGUCAUAAGGCAAAGACAGAAUCUUCAGAGUGACAUUUGAUUUAUUUACCUGAAUCUUUAGCUCGCCAUUGAUUAUGAUGAAGCAUGCUUCUGAAGAAAAUUGAAAAUCUCAUACACUUCUAAUUAAUGGGAUUUGAUUUGAAUAUGAUGUAGUAAAAGCACUCUAAGUAUAAGCAAUCAGAUUCACCAAUGAAAUUGGCAGGAAAAAAAAUGUAGGCAAUGGAUAAGCACAAUAUUGACAAUCAAUGAAAUAGAAUUUGAUAUCAACCAUAGCCAAUAAAGAACACACUUGUGCAGAAACAUAUAACAAUGAGCUCCUCAACAAUACUCCCCAGCAAUAAACAUGUCAAAAUGGUAACCUUAGCAAAGCUCCUUGGCAAUAAUCAAUAUAAUUCAAGAUAUGUCUCUUCAGCAUCCCAAAAAUACAUUGUCACAGCUAAAAACAAUCCUAAACAGAAAUCACAGUUACUGAAUUAGUUUCCUGAAGUUGAAGCACAGUAAGAUACUCACCAGAUUUUUUCCCUCAACAAUAACCCGAUUCUGAGAACGAAUGAUGCGCUUAAUAAUACCAGUCUCACCUUUAUCCUUGCCCCUGAUUAUCAUUACAUUAUCUCCUCUGAGUACUUUCCAGUGCCUAAUUAGCUUUUCAGCAGCUUUCCAACCCAUUUUCAACUAUGAAUGAGAACUAAGACCUUCACAGAA
rnacentral:misc_RNA from 1 species